rnacentral:rRNA from 1 species
CAAUAGCGUAUAUUAACGUUGUUGCAGUUAAAAAGCUCGUAGUUGGAUUUCUGGAGGGAGCGUCGGCCCGUAUUUACGAGUGCGUGACGUCUCUGUCCAUCCUUGCGGGAAGGCACGGCAUUGAUUUGUUGUGUCGGAUCGCAUCAUUUACUGUGAAAAAAUUAGAGUGUUCAAAGCAGGCUUUCGCUUGAAUACAUUAGCAUGGAAUAAUAAGAUAGGACUUUGGUGCUAUUUUGUUGGUUAAGCCUAAAGUAAUGAUUAAUAGGGAUAGUUGGGGGCACCUGUAUUGCGUUGUCAGAGGUGAAAUUCUUGGAUUUACGCAAGACAAACAGCUGCGAAAGCGUCUGCCAAGGAUGUUUUCAUUAA